GAUGAACGCUGGCGGCGUGCCUAACACAUGCAAGUCGAACGGAGUCGUUUUGACAAUCUCUUCGGAGAUGGAAUUCUCGACUUAGUGGCGGACGGGUGAGUAACGCGUGAGCAAUCUGCCUUUAAGAGGGGGAUAACAGUCGGAAACGGCUGCUAAUACCGCAUAAAGCAUUAAAUUCGCAUGUUUUUGAUGCCAAAGGAGCAAUCCGCUUUUAGAUGAGCUCGCGUCUGAUUAGCUAGUUGGCGGGGUAACGGCCCACCAAGGCGACGAUCAGUAGCCGGACUGAGAGGUUGAACGGCCACAUUGGGACUGAGACACGGCCCAGACUCCUACGGGAGGCAGCAGUGGGGAAUAUUGCGCAAUGGGGGAAACACUGACGCAGCAACGCCGCGUGAUUGAAGAAGGCCUUCGGGUUGUAAAGAUCUUUAAUCAGGGACGAAACAAAUGACGGUACCUGAAGAAUAAGCUCCGGCUAACUACGUG
rnacentral:rRNA from 1 species